CUCACUCCUACAUCCACACAGUGCUGAGUGCUCACUCCUACAUCCACACAGUGCUGAGUGCUCACUCCUACAUCCACACAGUGCUCAGGGCUCACUCCUAGCUCCACACAGUGCUGAGUGCUCACUCCUAGCUUCACACAGUGCUGAGUGCACACUCCUAGCUUCACACAGUGCUGAGUGCACACUCCUAGCUUCACACAGUGCUGAG